UCAGGAUGAACGCUGGCGGCGUGCCUAAUACAUGCAAGUCGAGCGAACUGAUUAGAAGCUUGCUUCUAUGACGUUAGCGGCGGACGGGUGAGUAACACGUGGGCAACCUGCCUGUAAGACUGGGAUAACUUCGGGAAACCGAAGCUAAUACCGGAUAGGAUCUUCUCCUUCAUGGGAGAUGAUUGAAAGAUGGUUUCGGCUAUCACUUACAGAUGGGCCCGCGGUGCAUUAGCUAGUUGGUGAGGUAACGGCUCACCAAGGCAACGAUGCAUAGCCGACCUGAGAGGGUGAUCGGCCACACUGGGACUGAGACACGGCCCAGACUCCUACGGGAGGCAGCAGUAGGGAAUCUUCCGCAAUGGACGAAAGUCUGACGGAGCAACGCCGCGUGAGUGAUGAAGGCUUUCGGGUCGUAAAACUCUGUUGUUAGGGAAGAACAAGUACGAGAGUAACUGCUANNNUANCGUACCUUGACGGUACCUAACCAGAAAGCCACGGCUAACUACGUGCCA
rnacentral:rRNA from 2 species